UCCAUUUGGUGUCCAGAAAUCCCUCAUUGAUAGAUAUAAAGAGAACUUCUCCACCGGUGUGGUGUUUCAAGCGCUUCCACUAGCUGUUUGACAUCAAGACACUGAUAACAGGUCUCUUGCUUCAUUAUCCGUUUUUGACUCGUAUGUAGGCCGGUCGUCCAUCAGUUGUCGAACCAUCUGGUGGAGAGUUUGUUGCUCUAGGCCCUCCUUACUUGGCUUUUGGAAAUUGAAUGGAUUCUUUCCCUCUCCGAGCGGAG
rnacentral:lncRNA from 1 species